AGAGUUUGAUCCUGGCUCAGGACGAACGCUGGCGGCGUGCUUAACACAUGCAAGUCGAGCGGAAAGGCCCUUCGGGGUACUCGAGCGGCGAACGGGUGAGUAACACGUGAGCAAUCUGCCCUUAGCUUCGGGAUAGCCCCGGGAAACCGGGAUUAAUACCGAAUACGACCUCGGCCGACAUCGGCCUUGGUGGAAAGUUUUUCGGCUAGGGAUGAACUCGCGGCCUAUCAGCUUGUUGGUGGGGUAAUGGCCUACCAAGGCGACGACGGGUAGCCGGCCUGAGAGGGCGACCGGCCACACUGGGACUGAGACACGGCCCAGACUCCUACGGGAGGCAGCGAGUGGGGAAUAUUGCGCAAUGGGCGAAAGCCUGACGCAGCGACGCCGCGUGGGGGAUGAAGGCCUUCGGGUUGUAAA
rnacentral:rRNA from 1 species